rnacentral:rRNA from 1 species
UACGUAGGGUGCAAGCGUUGUCCGGAAUUAUUGGGCGUAAAGAGCUCGUAGGCGGUUUGUUGCGUCGGCUGUGAAAUCCCGAGGCUCAACCUCGGGUCUGCAGUCGAUACGAGCAAACUAGAGUGUUGCAGGGGAGACUGGAAUUCCUGGUGUAGCGGUGAAAUGCGCAGAUAUCAGGAGGAACACCGAUGGCGAAGGCAGGUCUCUGGGCCACUACUGACGCUGAGAAGCGAAAGCAUGGGGAGCGAACAGG